rnacentral:rRNA from 1 species
UACGUAGGGUGCGAGCGUUGUCCGGAAUUAUUGGGCGUAAAGAGCUCGUAGGCGGUGUGUCACGUCGUUCGUGAAAACCUGCAGCUUAACUGUGGGCGUGCGGUCGAUACGGGCAUCACUGGAGUUCGGCAGGGGAGACUGGAAUUCCUGGUGUAGCGGUGAAAUGCGUAGAUAUCUGGAGGAACACCGGUGGCGAAGGCGGCAUCCUGGACCAAUACUGACACUGAGGAGCGAAAGCCAGGGGAGCAAACGGG